rnacentral:rRNA from 1 species
CACGUAGGCACCAAGCGUUGUCCGGAUUUAUUGGGCGUAAAGAGCUCGUAGGCGGUUCGGUAAGUCGGGUGUGAAAACUUUGGGCUCAACCCAAAGCCUGCACUCGAUACUGCUGUGACUUGAGUCCGGUAGGGGAGUGGGGAAUUCCUGGUGUAGCGGUGGAAUGCGCAGAUAUCAGGAGGAACACCGGUGGCGAAGGCGCCACUCUGGGCCGGUACUGACGCUGAGGAGCGAAAGCGUGGGGAGCGAACAGG